GUACACUCCUACGGGAGGCAGCAGUGGGGAAUUUUGGACAAUGGGCGAAAGCCUGAUCCAGCAAUGCCGCGUGAGUGAAGAAGGCCUUCGGGUUGUAAAGCUCUUUUGUCAGGGAAGAAACGGUGAGAGCUAAUAUCUUUUGCUAAUGACGGUACCUGAAGAAUAAGCACCGGCUAACUACGUGCCAGCAGCCGCGGUAAUACGUAGGGUGCAAGCGUUAAUCGGAAUUACUGGGCGUAAAGCGUGCGCAGGCGGUUUUGUAAGUCUGAUGUGAAAUCCCCGGGCUCAACCUGGGAAUUGCAUUGGAGACUGCAAGGCUAGAAUCUGGCAGAGGGGGGUAGAAUUCCACGUGUAGCAGUGAAAUGCGUAGAUAUGUGGAGGAACACCGAUGGCGAAGGCAGCCCCCUGGGUCAAGAUUGACGCUCAUGCACGAAAGCGUGGGGAGCAAACAGGAUUAGAAACCCUUGUAGUCCC
rnacentral:rRNA from 1 species